UCCCUGAGACCUUAACUUGUGG
rnacentral:miRNA from 1 species